CAGNCGNUGCUAUACAUGCAAGUCGAGCGGACAGAUGGGAGCUUGCUCCCUGAUGUUAGCGGCGGACGGGUGAGUAACACGUGGGUAACCUGCCUGUAAGACUGGGAUAACUCCGGGAAACCGGGGCUAAUACCGGAUGGUUGUUUGAACCGCAUGGUUCAGACAUAAAAGGUGGCUUCGGCUACCACUUACAGAUGGACCCGCGGCGCAUUAGCUAGUUGGUGAGGUAACGGCUCACCAAGGCGACGAUGCGUAGCCGACCUGAGAGGGUGAUCGGCCACACUGGGACUGAGACACGGCCCAGACUCCUACGGGAGGCAGCAGUAGGGAAUCUUCCGCAAUGGACGAAAGUCUGACGGAGCAACGCCGCGUGAGUGAUGAAGGUUUUCGGAUCGUAAAGCUCUGUUGUUAGGGAAGAACAAGUGCCGUUCAAAUAGGGCGGCACCUUGACGGUACCUAACCAGAAAGCCACGGCUAACUACGUGCCAGCAGCCGCGGUAAUACGUAGGUGGCAAGCGUUGUCCGGAAUUAUUGGGCGUAAAGGGCUCGCAGGCGGUUUCUUAAGUCUGAUGUGAAAGCCCCCGGCUCAACCGGGGAGGGUCAUUGGAAACUGGGGAACUUGAGUGCAGAAGAGGAGAGUGGAAUUCCACGUGUAGCGGUGAAAUGCGUAGAGAUGUGGAGGAACACCAGUGGCGAAGGCGACUCUCUGGUCUGUAACUGACGCUGAGGAGCGAAAGCGUGGGGAGCGAACAGGAUUAGAUACCCUGGUAGUCCACGCCGUAAACGAUGAGUGCUAAGUGUUAGGGGGUUUCCGCCCCUUAGUGCUGCAGCUAACGCAUUAAGCACUCCGCCUGGGGAGUACGGUCGCAAGACUGAAACUCAAAGGAAUUGACGGGGGCCCGCACAAGCGGUGGAGCAUGUGGUUUAAUUCGAAGCAACGCGAAGAACCUUACCAGGUCUUGACAUCCUCUGACAAUCCUAGAGAUAGGACGUCCCCUUCGGGGGCAGAGUGACAGGUGUUGCAUGGUUGUCGUCAGCUCGUGUCGUGAGAUGUUGGGUUAAGUCCCGCAACGAGCGCAACCCUUGAUCUUAGUUGCCAGCAUUCAGUUGGGCACUCUAAGGUGACUGCCGGUGACAACCGGAGGAAGGUGGGGAUGACGUCAAUCAUCAUGCCCCUUAUGACUGGGCUACCACGUGCUACAUGGGCAGAACAAGGGCACCAAACCGCCAGUUAACC
rnacentral:rRNA from 1 species